UAAAGAACACAUUGCCCGACCCUGAAUUAAAAAAAAAAAAAGUGAUCGUGUCCCCAGUGGGGAGGAAAGGCAGUUAUUGAACAAAAAACCAUUACAAUGACAAACACUUUUUCAGCUGACAAGCUCCUUUACACAAUUUAUCUGGCAAUUAUAAACAAGCCAGGGAUACAAAAUGAGCUACAAAAACUAUCAGAGUGUGAUAGAUGGAUAUCAACUUUACUCCAUAUCUUCAACCUUUUUGAGAAUGAGGAGUGGGCACAGGGAAAAGCAUUGUGGCUCAAUGAGUUAGGUAGAUUCACAGGAUCAACCUGGGAUGCUUUUGGGGCAGAGGAGGACAUGGUCACAUGUAGACUUGAAUUCCUUAACAGUACAGAAGUUGUACAAACAUGUCUUAAUCCAGCCUGUCCAACUGCAAAAAGAAGAUACAACUCAAUAGAUAUUGUGUAAGUACAUUGUAAUUAUUGAUACAACUUUUACAUACACUUAUUUAACAAACUGUUUGCUUGUUUUUACUGUUAUUGUAAGAGAAACAAUAGUUUAUGUAACAUGUAGCCAUACAAGUUAUUUAUUUAUUUUAAAUUUUGUUGCAAGGUGUGAAGACCUCACUAAGUUGCAGGCUGACGUUGACAAGUGGUCCAAUGAGAUUAUCGUACUACUUCCAUGCAAAAGAGGUGCAGGGCCAUGCACAGAACAAAAACAGAACAUCAAGACGUACCUUUGUGCACGGGUUGCCAUGUCUUGUACUGGUAUCAAUCUUUCACAAAAACGCUUUGACUAAGAACCAGCAUCCAACAGCGUUGCCACAUCAGAUCGAACUUCUUGGUGAAAAGUACGAGCCGGUGGCCAUAACAUAUCACCUGAGUGCGCAAAGUCAUUUUGUUGCAUUCCACCGACUGGGAACAGACAAAAGCUGGCACUUUUAUGAUGGACUACAGGAAUCCAAGAAGGCUGGAAGAGGCGAUAUAAAAAUCUCAGACAUCAACAUACAAAAGAAACUGGGAAACAGAUGUCAGAUUGGACACAUAGUUAUGGUCAGGGUUAGCAUGAGCCCCUGACUUAAAUUUUAGUUUUUUUUGUUCAACAUUUCUUGGUUUGUUUCCUAAUUUACUUUAAAAUUCCUGUUUUGGUGUUUUGCUUCAGGUUGUCCUUCCCUUGUCCCCAUUACCUUUGAAUUGCAUAAAAUCAAAUACGGUGUAUAAUAUAUUCUUCAGUAUCUAAAUCCUUAUUUAAUGCAGGUUUGAGCAGUCUAGGUCCGGCGGUUUUUGAACAGGACCUGGUCUAAUGU